rnacentral:rRNA from 1 species
UACGUGGGGUGCAAGCGUUGUCCGGAAUUAUUGGGCGUAAAGAGCUCGUAGGCGGUUUGUCGCGUCUGCUGUGAAAACCCGAGGCUCAACCUCGGGCCUGCAGUGGGUACGGGCAGACUAGAGUGCGGUAGGGGAGAUUGGAAUUCCUGGUGUAGCGGUGGAAUGCGCAGAUAUCAGGAGGAACACCGAUGGCGAAGGCAGAUCUCUGGGCCGUAACUGACGCUGAGGAGCGAAAGCAUGGGGAGCGAACAGG